CUCAGGGGUGAGUGGCGGUUGUUUGACUGAGCAUAGUUGGGGUAAUGCUGUAAUCAGACAUGUGGUGAAGUCUGCCUUGGCUGAUGAUGGGCGGUCAUUUUGCUGAAUCAAUCAAUAAAUCAAGAUACAGCAAGUCA